CUACCACAUUUUUCGUAAGUUUCUGUCAUAUGUUGGAUUACACGGUUUCGAACAACAUUACAAGAAAUGGGAAAUACAAGAGUGUGUUGUAUUUGUGGUGUUUCUACAGUUUAUAAAAAGAAGAAUAGAAAUUCCCGUAGUUUUUUUAAGUUUCCAAACCCGAAUAUCAAAAAGUUAUUGCCAUUUGAUAAGGAUCUGUUGGAAAGGAGGCUUGUUGCAUGGAAAGAAGUUGUUGGAACGAAUUAUGAUAAUUUCCCUAUUGGACUUAUUUGUGUUUGUUCUGACCACUUCCAAUCAGGUAAACCAGCUAACAUUUGCAAUGUAAACGAUAUUGAUUGGAUACCAUCAAAGAAUUUGGAUCUGUUGGUCGCUAACAAAACAAGAAACACUGAAAAUGCUAACGAUGACCAUUCACAGAAUUCCAAUGGUAGAUACAUUGUGAUAACAAACAUGUUCAUGACUGCGAAUGAUCACAAUGCCAUUGGGAAGUGGAAAGGCAAGAAGUUUAUCGGCAAAAGUGUUAUCUACAUAUUGGGGAGAACCGUUUAAAUUUUUGUAUGCCUCAAACUUCUCACCAUCACUGCCAUUCCGUUCAAUAACUAAAUAUAGAACUAAAUGUUUAUUUUUUA